rnacentral:rRNA from 1 species
GACGAACGCUGGCGGCGUGCCUAAUACAUGCAAGUCGAACGAGAGCGCCCGGUGCUUGCCCUGGUCAAUCUAGUGGCGAACGGGUGAGUAACACGUGGGUAACCUGCCCAUCAGAGGGGGAUAACAUCCGGAAACGGAUGCUAAAACCGCAUAGGUCUUCGAACCGCAUGGUUUGAAGAGGAAAAGAGGCGCAAGCUUCUGCUGAUGGAUGGACCCGCGGUGCAUUAGCUAGUUGGUGAGGUAACGGCUCACCAAGGCCGUGAUGCAUAGCCGACCUGAGAGGGUGAUCGGCCACAUUGGGACUGAGACACGGCCCAAACUCCUACGGGAGGCAGCAGUAGGGAAUCUUCCGCAAUGGACGCAAGUCUGACGGAGCAACGCCGCGUGAGUGAAGAAGGUUUUCGGAUCGUAAAACUCUGUUGUUAGAGAAGAACAAGUGCUAGAGUAACUGUUAGCGCCUUGACGGUAGCUAACCAGAAAGCCACGGCUAACUACGUG